CUUUCCACAGGUGUUUCCACGAGAUUGACCUACAGUCCCCUGUCACCAGUAUCACCUGGGAUUCUGCUCACUGUCACAUGUCAUACUCACAGUCAUGAUGAGAUCACUACCCAGCUCUGAGCACCAGGAGGACCUCGGCAUGUCUAAAACCAAUCUUAAGGCCAAGUGCAGAGCCUUAGGGACAGAGUUAGAGAAACAGCUGCAGCCAGAAGCCUGAGCUGCUGAGUGGCUGCUGUGGAAGAAGGCUCAGCAAUGAAGCAAGGAGCAAGGGAACCAGCAAUGAGGAGGAGAGAGAUGCAGGAGCCAGGGAAGUUCCCAGAGCCAUGGAGCACCCAGCAGAGUAUCAGGGAGGCACCGAGGACCCAUGAGCUGACCAUGGCUGGAUGGAAGGCCCUAGGACCAGCACGGCUAAGCCCCAGGGAGCAAUGUCAUGGAAAGCCAGGACUCAUGAAGUAGCAUGACAGUCAAGGGCAUGGGAGGCAGAGAUAGAGCUACUUGCUGAAAACUACAUGUUCAAUGGAGAAAAAUCUCCCGCUCCCAGGAGAGAACUGUCUUGCCACCUGGGAUCCUGAAGCUUCCACCUUGGCACCCCUGAUGCUUAGACGGGGUAGAAGGCUUAUUAAGCAUCUGUAACAGCUUUAGGAUUCCCGUGCAUGAUCUCAGGAGAUUGGACUUCUGGCAGAGACAGUGGACAUCUGGGGCCGCAGCCCCGAGGCCAGGAUCAAACCCACAACCUCAAGGUUCCUUAUCAGAUUCGUUUCUGCUGCACCACUGCAGGAACUCCCAUAAGGUUCUUAAUUAAAGAGGAAGAGACCAGAGUGGGCGAUCCCCUCUCCUCUCCUUUCCUCUCCCUUCUCUCCCCUGCCCCACACCCCUCUUUAUCUGCCUUGAAAGAACACAAUUAGAAGGCAGCCGGGAAGAGAAACCUCACCAAUAAUCAGAAAUGUGGCUCCUUGAGCUCAGACUUCUAGCAUCCAGAAUUGUGAGAAAUAAAUGUCUGCUGCUUAAGCCA
rnacentral:lncRNA from 1 species